UGACAGCCUCCAUUUAAAAGCCACCUC
rnacentral:piRNA from 1 species